CAAAAAAAAACAAAAAAAAACAAAAAAAAAACUUGAGAAGCACUAUUAUAGAGCACAAAGCCUUGACUUACAGCUAAGCCUCAAAAUGAUUGAAGCCAGAACUUAGCCACCAAGAACUAAGACUGUACAAAUUCAUUGAACUGUACAUUUAAAUUGUGUGCACUUCAUUGUAAAUUGUACCUCAAUUAAAAAGAAAAAGAAUCAACCAAGAAGUUAGAGAAAAACAUCAGAAAGAAUGAAUUAAGAAAUAUACAAACAAAAAAUUGGGAAAAAUGGAAAGCAAAGAAACAGUAGAAUUAAUUUUAAAACUACAUCACAUGUGGGCUGAUAGAUGCAGCAAAGCACCAUGGCGCAUGUUUACCUAUGCAACAAACCUGAACAUCCUGCACAUGUAUCCUGGAACUCUAAAUUUAAAAAAAUACAUCACAUGAUUUUUUUCCCCUGUUGGGGAUUGGUUUGACUAUAAUAAAAUAGGUAAAUAAACAGUCUAAUAGAGAAGAGGAAAUGGCAGAGGAAAAAAAAGUCAAGUAAUUAUGACUAAGAAAGGGGAAGAAAUCAUAAUUAAAGAGUAAAUUAAAAUAGUAAGUCUUUGUGAACUAACAAAUUAAAUCCAGGUGAAAUGGAUACUACUUCCAAGGAAACACAAAUCACCAAAAUUGAUACAAGAAGAAUUUUGAGUUAAGAAGUCUAAUAAACUUGUAAAAAUAAAAACUAUGAGAAUAUUAGGGAAAAACUAUGACUAAGAAAAGGACCAGAGGAUUUCACAUGAUAAUUUUCAACUCCCAAAGAAACUAGUCGUUCUGUUUCUAUUAAAACUGCUUUUAGACCAUAAGUUUUAAAAAUCUAUUUUUUUCAUAAAUUGAGUAUUUUGCAUUACUCUGAUAUCCGAAUAAGACACUUGAAAAUCUUAGUAAUGUAUCUUGCUGUGAGGUGGUAACUGGUGUCAGACUUGUUCUCCUACCUCCUCAACUAAAUUUAUGAAAAAAAUGGUUUCAGACAUUGAGAAACUGGCAACACAAGGUUUUGAUCCUUGGAAAAGGGAAACAAUUGAAGUGAACACCUAUAUAUCUGAACCAGGAAGGGCUUGAAGUAUGUUAACCACUGAAGCUUUGCAAAAUGAUCAAAAGGAAAAAAAAAAUGAGUCUGUCACUGUCCCUAAUAAAAAGAAGGAUGGCAUCAGCUGUAGAGGAAAUAUGUCUCCAGACUUCAGAGGCCAAAGACUAAAUAGAUGAUUUAUAGCUGGACACAGGGUUAGAAUGAAAAGUGAAGAAUCUUUAUUUUUUGAAAUAGUACUUAACUUUAAUGUUAGACUAGUGAAUAUGCUUUUGAGAAGCCAAAUAGAACAGAGAUACAUGACACAUCAGUAAGAGUUUUGCUUGAGGACAAAAGACACACCUAAGCAAAGCUAAUACAUUUCAGUGACUGGAUUUUGGUACUGGAAAGGAAAUUUGGAUUCAGCCAGAAUCCAUAUCCUGCCUUCUUCUCCUUGGGUACCAAAGGCUUCCGGAAACCAGAGACCCAGAGGUGAUAUCCCACCCAUCAACAAGCAAAGAGGGGCAAUUUACUGUCCAAACUCAAAAAUAGUAUCUUGAAGAAAAUUAUAGAAGGGACUAAAAAUUCUUAUUAGCCGUAUGUGAUAUUAUGACUUAAUAUAUAUAUUGAUUUUCAUCCACAGUUCCUGCCUCGUAAUUCCCUUAGCCUUUGUUACAGUCUUUUGUUAUAAUGUUGGGGUGCUUUAGGCCUCAGGAACAGGCCCCAGGAAACAAUCUCUCUCUCUCUCUGAUCUCCUGGCCUCCUUUUACCUGUUCAAGGUGAGACUACAAACUGAUUGUGGGUACAAAGAACCUCAUUCUAGAGAGGGUCCUUCUUCAGGUUCAAGAAGAAUCUGAAGAGACAGGUCUUGCUAGUUUUCCCCACUCAGUGUGACAUCAUACCCUUUUUGUCCAGUCACAUUUCUACAUGGUUGUCAAUCAUGCCUAUGUAAUAAAGGCUCCAUAAAAACCCAAAAAGACAGGGUUUAGAGAGCUUCCAAAAUAGCUAAACACAUGGAGGUUCCUGGAGGGUGGUGCACCCAGGGAUGGCAUGGGACCUUUGCACCCCUUCCUUCAUACCUCUCCCUAUGCAUCUCUUCACCUGUAUCCUUUCUAAUAUUCUUCAUACUAAACAGGGCUAAGCUCAAGACCCAGGUUUGGCAAAUGAGUACAUCACAGCUGCUCUAGCAAGGGAAUAAAUUCGCCAAUGACCAGAUGACCCAGUUGGUUAAGGCACAGCAUUCAACUCCCCCAGAGGAUGCAGCAUCAAAGUGCCAACUUGCAAGCAGUGAGAAGCUCUUAAAAGACAGCUGAACCUGCAGCUCCUUGAUCUUGGACUUUCUGUCCUCCAGAACUGAAAUUUGGUGCUAAGUCUAGUGAGUUGGACAUGGCCAUUCGAUGGAGGCUCCCAAGAACAAUGAAGUCAGGCAUCUAUUCUUUCUCUCACUGUGACUGUGAUGACCUGGCCGAGGCAAACACUUUCAGGUAGGUGCUCAGAAGAGACUUUAAAAUGAGACGGCAGAUUUUACUUUUAGAAAUAUGAACAAAGAACUGAAUAAGAUGCUAAAAUAAGAGAUAAAUUAUGCAAAUGCCUAUAAUAAUGAACAUUUCAUAGGUCUUGACAUUGAAAAAUUGUAAGGUGAGAGUUGUAGGUAAGAGAACUCCAAAGAGAAAUGAAUGGGUAAUGAAAGAUAGGACCUGGAAGGCCUAGAUGUAGGUCUGCUCCACUCAUUGAACACACCCAACAAGCUCCUAACAUGCUCCAGGCACUAUGCGGCGCUGCAGGAGACAAGGUAUGGGCUGUGUCCUCUCAGGGAGUUAUUCGCAAGAAGACAUGAUGAAUUCUCUUUCUCUAGGUCAAAUGACCAAAUAUGUUUUGAUUUUAAACAUUGUAAGAGAAUAAUACGGAAAAGUGUAAUAAGAUUAGAGAUCUCAAAGUUCCUGUCUUAGUUUGGUGCAAAAGUAAUUGAAUUUUAAAUCAUUAUAACGAG